AGUGAACGCUGGCGGCAGGCCUAAUACAUGCAAGUCGAACGGCAGCACAGUGGAGCUUGCUCCAUGGGUGGCGAGUGGCGGACGGGGUGAGGAAUACAUGGGAAUCUGCCCAGUCGUGGGGGAUAACGUAUGGAAACGUACGCUAAUACCGCAUGCGCCCUUCGGGGAAAGUCGGGGACUGCAAGGCCUGACGCGAUUGGAUGAGCCCAUGUUCGAUUAGCUAGUUGGCGGGGUAACGGCCCACCAAGGCGACGAUCGAUAGCUGGUCUGAGAGGAUGAUCAGUCACACUGGAACUGAGACACGGCCCAGACUCCUACGGGAGGCAGCAGUAGGGAAUAUUGGACAAUGGGCGCAAGCCUGAUCCAGCCAUGCCGCGUGAGUAGAAGACGCCGUCGG
rnacentral:rRNA from 1 species